GCUGAUAUAGUUUAGUGGAAAAACAUACUCUUGGUAUGAGUACAUCUUCAGUUCGAUUCUGAGUAUCAGCA
rnacentral:tRNA from 1 species